AUGUUGGUCCAGACAGCGCGUCCCGGACAGCGGGUGACCCUGCAGGGACUUCACGGUGCCUCGCUGCCCCAGCAAACUCCCAGACCCACCCCCAAGCCCCAGGAGCGCCCUCCUUCAUGGCAACCCCACAGGCACCAAAAAGAAAGGGACCCCGGGUCCCGCCCGGCGUCCCGGAACACUUCCGGUGGACUCUGGCCCACGUCAGGGAGCUGGCAACCGGCGCGCUCCUGGGAGCAGGCCGGCUACUCCAGCAGACGCCGGCGCGCUCUGCCCGAAUCCAGCCCGCCCGGCACGCACGCUCUCCGGCGCACGGCCCGCGCAGGCACCUGCCGCCCGGGUUCGGUCUCCGGCCGGCCACGACGCGACAGGCCGCGUCCCAGGGGUCCGCAAACCCUCCCUCUGCGGGGGCCCCCACGCCGGCGGACGUCACGGGCACGCCGGACACAAGUCACCAGCGUCCCCAAGUCGGCCCAGCCACCUGCAGGAGCGCCAGGUGAGGUCAAAGGCGGGGCAGCUCCCCGAAGAUCAGAGCCCCGGCCGCUGUCGGUCACCCCGCAAACGCACCCCACCGCUCCAGAGGCCCGGCCGGGGGCCAGGGGUGGCCAGCGGCUCCCACAUGUGACCUCCGGAACACAACGUUCGGACCCCCGCCCCGCCGCACGCCGCACGGAGAGGCCACCGCGCAGCGGCUCCGCGAGCCCGCCCCGCCGGACACUCCCCCGGGUGUCCCGCCGCCACUCCCCUGCGGCCCCCCGAGUCGCCCGAGCGCCGGCACCGGCGCGGCCCCGCCGCCCCCACGCGGUCCGCGCCCCCCUCACGCGCUGGCCACGCGGGCACGCCCCGCCGCCGCCGCCGGAGGAACCACGCGCGCGGCUGUGGCCGUGUCCACGCCGCCCGCCCCGGGUGUCGGGGACGCGGGGCGCGCGAGCACCAGCGGGCGCAGCCACACAGGUGGCUCCUGACCCGGCGCCCGCGCGGCCCGGGCGCUGCCAGAAACGCCACAGGCAUGGCGACCUCUGCGGGAGAGGGGUGCGGGCCGCACGUCAAGGCCGGGGG
rnacentral:lncRNA from 1 species